AGUGGCGAAAGGGAUAGUAAUACAUAGAUAUCUGCCCCCCGGUCGAGGAUAGCUACGGGAAACUGUAGGUAAUACUCGAUGAUUUCCCCGGAACAAAGGUGUGAUUCCGCCGGGGGAUGAGUCUAUGUCCUAUUAGCUUGUUGGCGGGGUAAUGGCCCACCAAGGCUCUGAUGGGUACGAGGCGUGAGAGC
rnacentral:rRNA from 1 species